GUGAGCCGGUGGACGGCUUCCGGGCGUCAUGCCCGAGGAAAUUCCACCCACCACGCAGAAGUGCAACGCCGCGAGGCGUAGGGAGAGAUCCCUGGCUCCGGAGCAGAAACGGAACGUCCUCCAGCGUUACGAGGAGGCGUGCUAAGUCGCCGAGGUUGCUGGAGGAAACGUUGAAACGGCCGUCCUGCACGGUGAAAGGGCGAAAGGCGCCCAUGACGGCUGCGGGAGGCGCGGGUGGCCCGUAUAGUCGAAUGCCGUCUAGAACAGAAGGUGGAUUACGGCCGGCACAC
rnacentral:RNase_P_RNA from 1 species